rnacentral:rRNA from 1 species
GCACAAUGGAGGAAACUCUGAUGCAGCGACGCCGCGUGAGUGAAGAAGUAUUUCGGUAUGUAAAGCUCUAUCAGCAGGGAAGAAAUGACGGUACCUGACUAAGAAGCACCGGCUAAAUACGUGCC